UCAAUAUUGUCUUCAAGGGUGAGUCAGUACACUGACACCAUCCUGCCAAGCUACCGGUACCAGUGGGCCAGGUUACCGAGCUGCAAUCCCUUCACUCAGGCCCCUUACCAUUUCAUUCUGGGCUGCCAGCUGCUGGCACAGGGUUUAUAUGCUCCCCCCCCCGUUCAACCAUCCGGUACCUGGUCUGACAUUCUGUUUACUCUUCCGAUCCCGGGUGAGCCCCCCACUUGUCAUGACUGUGCUCCGGUGCACCUUACCCCUUGCCGUGAAGCUUCAGAGUUCAGAGGGGAGGGGUUCCCUAUCACCUGAUUCCUCCUCCUCCAGGCUUUGUGGGGUCCCAGUGGUCACUUAUUUCUCUUCUGAGGAGUCCGCCACUCUCCCUGCUAGCCUCCUCAUCCCAAGCAGUUCACAUCUUAAAUAGCUGUUGGCAUGUUGAGUAGCCCUGCACCCUCCUUUCCGGCCCCUGCCUUGCUUUAUUAACCCUUCCCCCUCUGGUUACAGGCAGCUGCCUCCACUCCCUUCAUUCCCUCCUCCCUCGCAUGGCCCCAGCCUUCUUCCUGAGGCACCUCUCUGAUGUCAUCCGGAGGCGUCUUGCCUAUGCCCUGCUCAGGCAGCUGCCUGUCAGAAGCUUCCCAUGUGCCUUAUUGAGAGUAUUAUGCUAAAUUUUGGGCAUCACAAGUUUGGGAAGGAUACCCGUAAAAGGUAGUUAGGUCACAUGUCAAAAGACUGAGAAAAUGGGGACUACUUAGUCUGGAAAAAUCAGGAUUAAGGGUGGAAAGCUUGACAGUCUUCAAAUACUGGAGAAGAUGCUGGAAGGAGCAAGUGUUCAGCAUACCUCGUGAGAAUAAGGGUGCCGGCUGGGUGACAUCUUGCUGUUUGCUUUCCCCCUUGUGUCUCUCUGAAGAAGGCGACAUGGGGGCAGCAGGGACCCAUCUUCACUUUUUGUCCCAGGGCCCACUCAGAACUUGCAAUGCCCCUGCUAACUUCUGAAAAUGUAAUGGGCACACUCUAGCUAAGUUUCAGUGGAAUAGGAUUCUGAUAUCUAAAGAAUGUUGAAGAUUUAGGCAUUUACUCCUUAAAAUCCUGGCAUUGUGAAAACAGUUCUGGGUCUUAGUGGGUGGAGAGGAUGACUCAUUGAAACUAGAAUAACUCAGAUAUAAAAGAGAGGAGGGACAACUGAGAAUAUGUAAGAGAUCAGUUUUAAAAAGAUAGGUGAAGGGAGUAUUCCGUUAAACAAAAUCCCUACCCAAAAUGUAUUGAACAGAUCAGUAAAUGGAAAAGAACCAAAAUGUUGAAAGCCCAGAUUAACAGACAGGAAAUGUGAAAAAAAAUAGGUGGUGGUGGUGGGGAACUCCAGAAAGAGCUCUUAAAUGUCUUAAUUAUCAACAUAAAGUUGCUCAGAUGGCUUUUAAAUUAAAUAAAGAGAAUAAAUCUUAGUAACAGUUUUGAGAAGAAUACCUGGCUCUGCCAUAGAAUGAGUAACCUAUUUAUUUAGCACAACCAGCGAUCAUUUUAUUCACAGGAGAAAGAAGAAAAAGGAAGAUUCUGGAGGGGAAAGUUGGGGUUCUAAACUUUUUUAAAAGGCUGUUUGCAAUGAUUGUCCUCUGAUAUUUUAAGGAGGCAAUAACAAAAAUUGGAAAAUUGUGAUAGGAAAAUUGAGCAAACCGUGUAUUAGAACAUUUCAGUUAAUAGCCAAGAGUUUCACAGUGAUAGUGGCUGGGUGUAUCUUAGCAAGUGUCUUGCAUGACCAGGUACUUAAGCUGUGCGAGGAGAGAAUAAUGAAGAACACAGACCAUAUUGUAUCAUAGCAGACAAUAAAACCGAACCUUAAGAAAUCAUCCUUCGGUGCCAGGAGCUUGGAACGCAGUGAAUAGGAGAGAUUGUAUAAGAGGACAGAUUUGUAUAAUUUCACAAAAACUAUGCAUCUAAGCAUUUGAAUGUAUCAAUGUGACUGAACUGUGGUUAACCUUCUUUGGAUGUUGUUGGAGAGGACUGAAGAUGUGGGCAGUUAUGCAGAGACAGGUACAUCUGUAUGAAGAUUAGAAAUGGAGAUGAAAUCACGAUUAGGUUAACAGCAGAGCCCCACAUAAUAUCAGAUCACCUAAUGUCAUAAGGAGACAGUAGAGAAUGAGGAGAACACUGCAAGAACCAAGAGGUCAAAGGGGGAAGCAUAUAACCACUGGGGUUAUCAAAGAUCAUCAUUAGAGCUGUGCAGGAUUGCAGUCCGUGGCUGGCAUUCCCAAUUACGAAGUGCCAGUGCUGCUGCAUUUUACUAAUGCAGUGCUGGUAAAUGUAUGGGACGGGUGAUUUUUGACUGCCUCCUCUUCCCCCAGAAACAUUCUGUUCUACAUGAAAAUAUGCGCAGCCCUUAUUCUCAAUACAAGUAGUGCACAACCUGCGACCUCACAGGAGUGAGUGGUAGCAAAACAGCCCUCUUGCACAGCUCCAUAUGCAUGUCUGUUACAGUCUCACUGUGGCGCAAGUGGUUCUAAAUGAUAUGCAUGAUGCUGAAGGGCAUGCCAGCCAUUAUGUGGAUCAUUGCUGGUUGGUUUUUAUGGUUUCAAUAGGGUAUUGAAAAAUGCCUUGUGAUUUUGUUUUGUGACAUUAAUUGUAACUGCUAAGAGGACCGAGAUACACAUUUUAAAAACAAAGACGAACAAUGGCUGACAUCCUGAUUGAUGGAAUGCUGGUGCCGCGAACAUACAGCAUGCACUAUGGGGGAGGGGUGGUAUUUGUCAGUCUCCAGAAUCACAAGCUGGCUGAAUUCAAUGCACAGGAGAGUGUGGGCAUGCAUGAUUCCCUGCCACUCAGCACACCACCACCUGAUUGUGGGGUGGUGAUGGUUCAUCCAAACUGUCCCAAAGUGCAAUUUUAAAACUGCACAGUAAGGGGCAGUUCAGAGAGCCACUCCCUCACACACAAUUAGGUGAGUGCCUGCAUGCUGUGUGGGGAAGACCCACUCUCCUCCCCCAUGCAAUCAACUGGGCCAUUUGGAGUAUCAUCCAAAUAAGUCCUAUGGCUCCAGGAAAGCUUAAAACAUGUACAUGGGGAUAACAUCCAUGGAGAGUUCUCUCAGGAGGGAACAAUGACUUUUUGAGGUCCUUAUUGUUUGAAUUUGACCCUUUAAGCAAUUUUCCCAAAGCAAGAAGGAGCCUGGAUUUUUGUAGUCUGUUUGUAACAGUUCAGUGGUCACUCUUGCUUCACAUACUUGCAGCUUAGACAAACAGUUACCAUCUCUUGACUAACAGUGAAAUUAUCGUAAUACUAAGUUUUGUGACAGGCAUAUUUAUGGCAUACAAAUAUAUCCUUUCUGAUCUAAUAUUUAGAAAGCAUGAAAAUUACACUAUACAUGCACUUGCAUUAUCUUUCAAUAUGUCUAAUAUGUGUGGAUUCUGCUCUGCAAUUGAAUAGGGAUAUAUAGUUCAUUAUUAGGUAUUAUAGCUUAUUAGUUAUUCAGUACAGAGUUAUCCAUUUUCUUGAAGUUUUAACAGACUUCACUUUGGUUAAUGUGCUUAGUGCCCCAGAUGCUUGUCUUCUUUGCCACUGAAUUAAAUGUUAUGUCAAAAUCAGUGCAAAAUAUUUUGUUGCCCUCCUUCUCCUCCUUUUCAACAAAAACAAUUCACAAAGCAGUUUACAAAGCAAAAAGAAUGAGAAAAUGGAAUAAGAAAAUGGUUCUCUGUCCCAAGGAGCUUACAAUCUGAAAAGAAAUACAAGAAACAACAGCAAUAGACACUGGGAGGGGAAUCUGUGCUGAGUUGAAUCAGGACUGUUGCUCUCUCCUUGCAAAAUACAGUUAUUUAGCUUUGGACUAUUAUGUAAGAAUGGUUUAUUUUACUGGUAAGAUUGCAGGCUGGCACAUAACUGUUAUGCCAAUAUUCGUCUUUGAAUUAUGUUGUUAGGUGGUUGUUGUUUUGGAGGGAUUUUUGGACUAAUGUUUUUAGAUGAAAAUCUUAUGUAAUUUCUUUACGGAUUUCAUCUCAGUCUGAUGAAUAUAUAGAAUUGUCAUCCAUAAUGCUUGCCCCAAAUUAUUGGUAUUUCCUUUUCUCUAGUUUUAGGUUUUCCAGAGAAUUUCUUGCUUACUCUUUUGCUUGGCAAGGGAAAAAUAAAUUGUUUAGGGAAUCUCAGACUAUUUGGCAAGAUUCUGGACUAUGUUAUUUUCCCAUUUAUUUCUUGGUCUAUAAACUCUCUUAAUAUAUGUCCACGAAUAAUGAAGGGUUUAAAAAAAAAAAAUCAGAAGGUGUCAUUACUGAAAGUUGUUGAAAAGGACAGAUACUCAGAAAUAUGAAUGGCACCAGUGAAAACAAAUAGUAUGUGUGGUCCAGGAAUGACACAAAUGAAAGUAUAUCCAUCUUUAAAACGGCUUAAGUUUGGAAGGGAAAUGUACUACCAGGUUUUAAGAAAUAAAUAUUUUGUACUUAUUGCUAAAAAAAAAAUUGGUUGCUUUGAAAUUUCUCAGAGUUUUUAUGAAAGUUGAGAAUGAUCUAACCAUAAUUGCUCAUGAUAUACACAUUCAAUUUUUAUGGCCUGCUGUCAUCAUCUCAAGUAAAAAUGUUUUUUUCUUUCUGUCUUCAUUUUCCUGACUGAAUCCUUUUCCUGAUCAAGUCUAAUCUGAACUGAGCCUCCCCAAAAAUCUGGUUUCCAGCUUUAUAUGUUUAAAAUAAAUGACUGAGUGGUUAUAAGAGAUGUCCCCAGAAAAAUUAGCUAAUGGCAGCUCACAGGAGGGUACAGAAUAUCAUUUGGUAAUUGCAGCUUCAGUCUGGAGCAGGGAUGGUCAGUUUCUUUACUCUCAGGGACCAUUCUGUGCUCUGGACAAUGUUUUGAGGACCAGAAGUAUACACUAGCACAACAACUGCCUAUCUCGCAGAAGUUGAGGCUCCACAAAUGUGUGGCCAUCUAGUAGUAAGAGUUUCACUAUUAUUAUGCAACAAUUGUCCUUGGGCAUAGUUGAGACAUGACACAACAUCCAAAGAGAGAUGUAACAGAGAAGUAUAGACUAUCUCUAUCUUUUACAGUUUGACAAUGGCCCAGUUCAGAUGGAAUGCAGAACCGUGGGUCCAAUAGGCCUAUGGUUCCGUGCCCCCUCCCACCCUCUCCUGUCCACGUUCGGGUGAGAGAGAGAGCUGCUUCUCUUCAGUCAGCAAAACUGCAGAGAGGUGGGGGAGCUGGCUGUGCGGGCUUCCUUCUUGACAAGAGGACAGUCCUCACAGCCAAUUGGACCAAGUGAGGGAUGAGCUUUUCCCCCCAACUCUGGUUCUGUGGGGCCCAAACUGCGGUGCUAGGAUUCAGCUGUAAUGAUGGCACCGCAAAACCAGAGCUAAGGGCAGUGAAAUUCCUCAGACUGAAGGUUCAGAGUGGAGUUUGGCAAGGGUCCCUUUUCACCCUUAACUCCUGUUUGCCCAAUUUGGAUUUUGGAAACCGGCUUUGGAAACUGGAGGUGAAGAGACCUCCAGUUUCCCGUUUCAUCUGAAUUUGGAUAUUGUUUUUCCUUUUUCCAUUUGAACAACACUACUCAAACCAAAUGUUUCCAGGUGCCUUGAAUAACAUUCGAUAGGGUCACCAAAGGGCAGAGAGCCAGAAAUGGCCCAGGGCCUGCCAGCUGGCCAUCCUUGCUCUGGAUUAACAUAGGGAUAUAUAGUUAUUUCACAGCAGAUCUUGCAAAAAUACCUGUACUGUAGAGCUAGCUUGAGUCAUCUGAGAAGAUGCAGAGCAGCACCUUCCCUACCUUAGUUGAGCUCACCCUCUGUCUCUCCUUGCCCUCCCAGUUACAUCUUGUUGGCCUCCUAUUUCUCUCCAAAGGUGGCAACUGGAGAAACCACCAUGAAGUUUAUGAUGGACAUGCAUAUUUUGCAAAGUUAGUCCUAGAGAAAGUAUGCAGUGCUUGAAUGCAGAAUAUCAGUGUCCAGCUCCAUCCUAGAGAUGCUUUUCAUUUGCUAUAACUGUAGCAGGAGACUGGGUUUUAACAGUUGCUUUUGCAUUUGUGUGUCUGUGUGUCUGUGUGUCUGUGCACCUGCCUACCCAGCCUUGUUACCUACCCAGCCUUUGGAACAGGAUAUGUAGAAAUGGAAUACCCAUAUAAAUAUGCAAAGUUGUUGCAGGAUCUAAAUAUAUUUCUUUGGGAUUUCUCAUUGUGCUGUGCUGGCUUUUCCUUCCUUUAUUGCAGGAAUUACUGACAGGUUAUAGAGUAAUGUGCCAACACUGAAAAUUUAUUCCAUAUUCCACUCAUGAUGAAUCUAUUAGCCUUAAAAUUCUACUUCACAAAAAUUUAUGCUUUUUCAAGAUCAAUGUCCUUUGAGAAAUCACAGAGACUUCAGUAUUUGACCAUUGACCACUUUGGGGAAAAAAAGAUGAAAUCAUUUUAAAAACAUCACUGGCCGACAGGCUGACUUACAAAGUGUACAAAGGAAGCACACGUGCAUUUGCUAUGUUCCAGAAUAAGGCAGUGUGGGAUGGGAUGGAGAUGUUUGUCGAUCUCCCUUUCCCUCCCUGAUGCACUCUGUGACCCCUGAAAAUACAUCCUUGCGUAUCACUCAGCAAUCAAGGGCAUAUUUUGGGGGGUCAUAAAGCACUUCAGAGGAAAGGGGAGAUCGGGGAAAGUUGCCUCCCCUUGUGACUACCUAUGCUGCUUUACUCUGGAACAUAGCAAAUGCAUGCGUGCUUUGUAAUUCAGGACGUUGACCAAUUUUUUUUAAUUGCUUGGGCCAAAUUCAGAAGAAACAGAAAAUUAAGCCCUUAACAUUGAAUUAGGUUAUUCAUUUAUGAGGUUUUGGUUGUUCUGCCUUGCUAAAUUGGAGUAUUUUUAAGAAAGACCAGCAGAACAUGCACUUCUAUAAUGAAACAUCAUUUGCUUUGGGUUGGAGAAGCUGUCCUACACAAUAAAACAUGAAAUGUUGUAUGUCCAAUAGUUUGAGGCACAGCUGUUGUAACCUGUUAGUCUUGAGGAGUUCAGCUCUGAUGGGACUCCAGGGGGCUUAGGUGGUCUACGAGCCAAAUGGCUAAGUUCAAGAAACAUAAAUCUCCCUCUUCUUUUCCAGAUGGGUUUGAAACUAUUGGGGUGGAGCAGCUUUAGAAUCUGCCUACUAAGUCUGGAACUGGCUGUAUAUAUUAGUUGCACAGUCUGGAAAGCAUGAGAGGGGGAGAAUUCCAAAAGCAUUGUGCUGAGACUGCAUUCCAAAUGGCGUAUAGCGGAUGAUUAAAACAUAUUUGUUCAAUAUAAAAACAAUUUGCACGCAAACACAAUGCAACGCAAUUGCCAAAGUGCUGCGCCAGUACAAGAAUGCUGAGCCAAGGGCCCCUACUCAGAAGAAAUCUGCAGUGUGUACGCUACUGCUUGGAGGUUACUUACUUACUUACUUAUUUGUUUGUUUGUUUGUUUAUUUAAAAUGUAUAUUCUGUUUUUUUCACAAAUUAUGAUGCAAGGUAGCUUAUAACAAAAACCGCUAAGCAUACCUACUGACAUUUUAGUGAUACAAUAAAAAUAGGUAGCAGUCAAAACCCCAGACUACAUGGGAGGAUCCUGUACUGGGGCUCCUCCCCAAACAAGCAUCAACUCAGUUUCCAGGAGGAGUGAUGCUAGCAUGACAAGGGGUCACAGCAUGAGCUUUGGUCCUACGGUUUCUGCUGUUUCCUUUGUCUCAAGUGAAAGAAACAUACAUGUACUGAGAAUUGAGGCCCUGUGAAAUAAUAUAAUUGAGGAUGUCUCUGUUACCAGAUGCUGUGAAUUUUCAUUAAAAGUGACAGCAUCUUUCACUGACUUGAAAAUCCCAUAGAGGGAAACUAUAGAUUUCCCCCUCAGACUUAUGGUUUCCCCCCACCCGCAAAACAUAGUUUCCCAAAAGAGAGGAACUGUAGAUUUCUCACCUAAUUGAUGUUCAAAAUAAAACGAAUCCAACAAAUACAUUAUAGAAUAUGCAUGACUCAUAGUUCACCAAGUUGGAUGCAGGCCACCAACCACAUAUUGUAGUUUGCAACAUGCUUGCUGGUUCCCAUUAGUGUCAUCUGCCACUCCUGAAUUGAAGGCAGAUAGCAUAAACAGGAGCUUUAUCAAGGUCAUAGUGACCUGCCAAACAUGACUGGUGGGCAACAUUCAACUUGGUGGGUCAAAGGCUGUGCAAGCCAAUUUCAUUAUGUGUUAAUCUUUUUUCUAAAUGUAUGACCCCACCCUCAAAGCCACAUGCUUCAUAGCUACAUACUGUAAGGCUGAGUUGCAAAGAGAAAUAUUACCUACCUACCUGUUUGCAAGUUUUAUUCUAGGUAUUUAUUUGCAAUGUGCCAAGCAGGGGCGUAGCUAGGGGAGAGGGGGCCCGUGUUCAUCCCUCUCUCGGGCGGCCCCCCCAGAGUGAGGGAGACAAUGAAGAAAAUAGGUAGGGGUGGAGCUGGAGGGCCCUCAGGAGCUGGGGGCCUGUGUUCUUGGAACCCUUUCGCUCAAUUAUAGCUACGCACCUGGUGCCAAGGGUUCUUUCCUCAUUGGCUACAGGCUUAUGUGCAACCCAGCUCCAGGAUCCCAAAUAACAGUUUUGAAUUGAGUUUGAAAUAAUAUUCUAUGAUGAUGCAAGUUAUUAAUGAGGCUCUUAAAUGGCAAUUAGCAACGAACCCUUUGUAUGUCUAUUAAACUAUCUUGAUCCCGAGUGAGAUAUUUUCAAAUGAAGAAACUAAUAUUCCACAUGCUAAAAAUCACAAGAAUAGUUUAUGCGAAGAAGUGGAAAGCGGAAAAGAAAACCACAGAGUGAAUAUUUGAGGAGGUUUGGGGAAAUUACCUCUUCAGUUAAAAUGACAAUCUACUUAAAGCCAAGGGGAAAUUACAGUGAUAUCUCUGAAAGAUGGAAAAUGGUGGUAGAUUACCUAAGGUAUACUUUAAAAAUUAAAAAGUCAGGGUAUGAAAUGCUGAGUUUAGUUUUAUUAACGGUUUAGGAAAAGGUUUAGGUUUUAUUUUCCUAAAAUAAAUGUAACAGCGAUGUGCAGUAAUGUGCAUGUCUUAGAGAUAUGGAUUAAUUUUUAUAGAAGUAGGAACAAAGUAGAAUCUGCCUGACAUCCACACUAAGUUACUCAAGAAACUAAGUUACUCAGUAGUAACUCUAAAAAGCAGGUCUCUUUCUUCUUUUGCCCUUCCCAGCUGUCAAUGGGAGCCUCCCCUAGAGGUUCCAUGAUUAUACAGGGGCCUCUGGAGAACUCGCCAAUUUGUAGAUGAGGGUGUUGGGCACAGCAGCAGUGUGAGUCUCUUGGGUGACUCAUACCACCACUGCCACUGGUACAGGAAUGGGGUUACAGGGAUUGACCUAGCUGGUUGGAUCCUCUAAUGUGCACCAGCAUCAGUUGCUGCUGGACUUGAAUGACCCCCAGUGCCACUCGUGUCUUUGGUGUUAGAUAUGGGAAUUUAGUCUUAUAUAGCAUUCUCCUGCCACAGAGCGGGGGUAAAAAGAAUCCAGAAGAUUGAUUUUCCUGCUGGACAUGUUGUGCAACCUCCUUACUUCUGAUCUCAGUGGAUUUUAUAGUAGGACAGUAUCUUUAGACAGGAAAACACAAGUACUGUAUGUCAAUGGGAGUAUUAGUUAUUUUCAUAAUGUAGUGAUUAUGACUUCUCCCUGAAAGUUUGUGUGCGUUGCCAAUGACCUCUUGUACUUUGGAACCAAGUUCAAGAAAAUCUGGACAUUCUAAUAAAGGCAAGCUGAUGAAUGCUGAAUUUCUCAUAGGACUGCUUUAGGAAAUUUGUUAUAGCCUCCGCAAUUUGGUCAUCAUAAAAUACAGAAGGUAAGCAGACAAAAUGGAUCCAACAAUAUGCUUGAGAUGUAUAUGAUGUAGGCAUGCUUCUGCUUAAACAGCUAUGGCCAUUUGUAGCAUGCAUCUAAAUUCCUAUCCAGUCACUGACAGGAAGGCUGAAUUUUCUCUAGGUUUUUAAAAAUGAUAAAAAGUAUGUUGGAAAGUUCCAGUAGCUUGUAUAAGAAUGGGGCCUAGGAGAUAGGAAAAUGGGGAGAAUGCAGGCAAUAGCUGAAGGCUCAGGAACAUAAAGUGGCCAUACCACCAUCAUUAGAGUCUCAGAAUUAAAAGGGCAUAAGGUCUAUCACACCUUCACUUCCAUGUCCAAGUAAUGCUGAUCAAAUUUCCCUUUUGUAAAUUAAAUAUAUCAUUUUAAUAGUAUUUAAUGUGAGAUUAUAUCCUCAGUUCUAGACUCCUGUUUCAAAUUAGAAAUAAAAUUUUGGCUUGUUCAGAGUUUGAGUUUAGUCAUAGCUUCAGCUAUUCCUGCUCUGCUUUAUUGGUACUGAAAAAUUUAUAAUAUAUUUGGGAUUCAGUUAUAUACUUACCCUGGGAAUUUUUAUGGGAUUGGAGCUGAAAACCUCUAAGAUGUCAAUGAAGAGUGUGAUUGCAGUAGGCAAAGUUUCCCUACUACAUUUAUAUGAUAAAUUAUAUUUUGCUUUUCUGGAAUUCUAACCAAAAAGUAAUUUUUCUGAUGCAUGUGAGCCAUAAAAUAUAUGAAAAGUGGGGGAUGUUAUCGCUUUUUCAAAAACCAAUUGCAAAAUAAGCGCUAAUACAUCCAAGCCAACUUUAAUAUCUCAGGAGCCAAUCAAUUUGUAACUGAAAUUGCAGCCCACUGUGGGAAUUUAGUGUGUGUGAGAGACAUACAGUUAUGGAACAUAAUAAAUUACAGUAUCCAAGAAAUAUUACAGACUUUGGCUUACAUGCAACGUACAAGUCCAGCAAUGACCUGAAGUACUUCUCCUUCCUCGGCUAGCUGACAGAAGCCAAUGCCUAAAUACAUUACAGCCUUACCUGCUUAAUCUGAGCUGUUUGUCAGUAUUAUGGGCAUUUACCCUACUUGUGUAUUUAUUUAUGUAUUGCAUUUAUAUCCCACCCUUUCUCCAAGGAGCUCAGGGUGGCACACACCUCAAUAACCUUGUGAGGUGGGUUGGCUGAGAGUGACUGGUCCAGGGUAACCCAUCCAAUUUCAUGAUUGAAUAAGUAUCUGAGUCUGGGUUUGUCCAGCCCUCAAAAUAUUACAGUAUGCUGGCUCAAGUAAUCAAAACUGAAGUCAUCAAAAGGCCAACUCCAGGAGGUGGCAAUGUUGGGUAGAACCCCCAAGGCUUGCUGUGCUGUGGCAGCUGUUGCAAGUGAGGACAGAGUCAUAACUGUGUGUGAGAGAGCAAAUUGUCCCUAUGAUUUUACUGAAGUGUAAAAUCUGGUUUGAAGCUGGUUCAGACUUGAACCAAACUAGGCCAGCUGGUUUUGUGAACACCCCUCGUGGCUAUAGGCCACCUCCAGCCUCAGAGGCAGGAUGCUUCUAAAUACCAGUUGCAGGGGAGCAACAGCAAGAGAGAGGGCAUGCGCUCGCCUCCUGCUUGUGGGCUUCCCAGAGGUAUCUGGUGGGCCACUGUGUGAAACAGGAUUCUGGGCUAGAUAGGCCUUGGGCCUGAUCCAGCAGGACUGUUCUUAUAUUCUUAUGUUCUUACUGCUCUCUCAGGUCCCUGACUGCAGGGAUGGAGCAGUAGCUCUGUAGGAGCACUGUUACAGCCCAGCCAGAUGAGGUGGCAGUGGUAGCAAUCAAUCAAGCAAACAAACAAACAAACAGGUAUAAUAUAGCAAUAUAUAGCAAUCAACAUUUCCAGGUGCUAGAAAACGUAUUAAUGGAGCCAAGUUUUCAACUGCACAGAGAUCUCCAAUGAAGACAGACCCAUACGAAACAAAAUGAAGCAAAACCCCCAGCUGAUUGGAAAUGAAAACAUUGUGUUUUUUCUCAGCUGUAUUAGGAGAGAUGGCUCAGAAUGGACUGGAAAAUCAGAAACAGGAGACUGCACCUAAGAGGAGGGUAGCAAGGGCCUUUGUAGAAUUCGGAACUGUAAGAAAUCCUUGUCAUGCACUCAGGCAACUUCUUGUGUCUUCCUACUAACUGAUAAAACAGGCUGAUGGAUAGGAUAUCGUAUAAUCCUAUCUCUCUGUUUCCAUUGCUCAGUGCCUGGAGAAAAAAAGAUAAAUUUCAAGGAUAUUAGGGAUGUGCACAAAACCGGCUGGCCUGGUUGAGUUUGAGUCUGAGCUGGACCUGAACAGGACUGGGUCAGUUCGGUUUUGCCCCCCACUGAACCCCUGUGGGUUGGGUUUGGUUCAAGGGAUUCAUGAGUCAAGUUAAAGACAAUUUUUUUUAGUACUUACCCCUUCCAGGGGGCUUCUCUGAGGCCAUGGGGGUUGUCCGCAGAGGUUCCCCCUCCUUCUCCCAGCCUUCCUUGUGGUAAAAAUCACCAGGUUUGGGUG